AUUGAACGCUGGCGGCAGGCCUAACACAUGCAAGUCGAGCGGAGCGGCGGACGGGUGAGUAAUGCCUAGGAAUCUGCCUGGUCGUGGGGGAUAACGUCCGGAAAGGGGCGCUAAUACCGCAUACUAUCAGAUGAGCCUUGGUCGGAUUAGCUAGUUGGUGGGGUAAAGGCCUACACAGGCGAAGAUCCGUAACUGGUCUGAUAGGCUGAUCAGUCACACUGGAACUGAGAACCGGUCAAGAUUCCUACGGGAGGAAGCAGUGGGGAAUAUUGGACAAUGGGCGAAAGCUUGAUCAAGCCAUGCCGCGGGUGGGAAGAAGGUCUUCGGAUUGUAAAGCACUGUAAGUUGGGAGGCGUUACCAACAGAAUAAGCACCGGCUAACUUCGUGCCAGCAGCCGCGGUAAUAC
rnacentral:rRNA from 1 species